AUGAAUGUCAUAAGUUGGAAUUGCCGGGGAGGGGGGAAUACUCGGACAGUUUGUGAGCUGGCGACAAUCUCAUAGUCGCAUUCCCCCAACAUGGUUUUUUUGUGUGAGACAAGGCAAAAGGCAGAUAAGAUGAGGAGGAUCCGUGGUCGGAUUGUGCUGAAGGGUUUCAUGGGAGUUGAUAGUAAUGGAAUGAGUGGUGGGCUAGCUUUGUUCUGGCAUGAGGCGUACGAAGUGGAAAUACUGGACAAAGAGGAACGAUAUAUUGACGCCCUUGUGCGUGUGGCAGCGGGGGCAACCCAAUGGAGGAUAACGUGUGUGUAUGGUGAACCUAGAGUUGGGAACCGGCAUCUUAUGUGGGACACUACAGCGUUUGAAGAACAUAAAUGA
rnacentral:rRNA from 1 species